AGCCUUGAAAAUUCAAGUAUCCGUUAUAGGCAAGUCGAAUAACAAGUCGGUUAAUUUUAUUACUUGCAAGUCCAAGUCAAGUAUCAUAAUAUUUUUGAUAGUUGCUUCGUUAUUUGCCUCAUUUUGAUAUUUGUCAUAUUACUCGUUACUUGUAUAUGUGACUUGUGGGAUCGUUAACAACUAGAUCUAGACAUAACUUUCUCCAGAACCUACUCUUUUAAUAAGUCCUUUAUUAACUAGAGAUCUACCUGAACAAAUAUUUCUCCAUCUAUAGGAUGGAGAGUAUGAAUUAUAUUAUUCAAAGGGUUGGAUUUCCGAAAAUAACGUCCUUUAAAAACCCGCGCAAAGAGUGAAUUUGGAACCGUGAUUAAACGCCAUAAUUGUUUAGCUAGAAGAGCCGAAUUAAAAUUGUCUACACUACGAAAACCCAAACCCCCUUCCGAUUUACUAUAACACACCUUAUCCCAUGCCAUCCAAUGCAUACCUCUAGAUUCACCAUUUGAACUCCACCAGAAUUUUGGGAUUGCACUCGUGAGCUUCGAUGUGAUUGUUUUCGGUAGUGUAAAGCAAGACAUAACAUAAGUUGGUAAUGCCGUAGCUACCAAUUUAAUCAUCACCUCUUUUCCUCCUUUCGAUAAAAACUUAGCUGACCAUCCAUUUAUCCUAUUUUGUAAUCUAUCUCUAACAAAAGAGAACAUUUUUGUUUUAGAUCCACCUAGACUUUCUGGUAAACCAAGACAGGAGCCCAUACCACCAAGAUUAGUGAUUCCCUGUUGAUUUUAUUUCUGCCUUAAGUGAAUCAUCUACCUUAUGACCAAACUGUAUCGAGGACUUUGAAAAAUUUAUUUGUUGUCCUGAAACCGCUUCGUAUUGCUUUAAAAUUUCCAAGAUUACUCCACACUGCUCUUUGCUAGCUUUGCAAAAGAAUAAACUAUCAUCUGCAAAUAACAAAUGAGUUACAGAGGAGCUUGCCGUAUCUACUUUCAUACCAGUAAUCAAUUUUCGUUGUUCAGCUUUUCGAAUAUUCGCAAUAAGCACCUCCGUACAUAGAAUAAAUAUGUAAGAAGAUAGCGGAUUUCCUUGUCUUUAAUCUCUCCCCGGUACUAUCAAGCCUCUAGGUUAUCUAUUAAUAAAAACCUGAUAUUGGACUGUUGUUGUAGACCACAUUAUCCAUGAAAUCCACUUUUCGCAGAAACCCAUUUUUCUAUAUUAUCCAUGAAAUCAUGUACACUUUUUUAUUAUGAAAUAACGAAUAUUGUAAUAAAAAUAAAGUUAUUAAUUUUCUAAAGAAUCUUACCUAAACUACUUUU
rnacentral:sRNA from 1 species